UUGGGUAUGGUGUACGGUACACCGCUCCUUUCAAUAAUAUGGAUCAGUCUCCGAUGCAUGGAGCGAGCCGGGGUUCGACUCCCCGUGCUCGAA